UGUAGCCGAUUGUUAAACUCCUGUGGGCAGCUCUAGCCUGGAUCACCCGUACCCGCGGUGGUCACAUGGUAUACCUAAGAAAACGGAACACAUGGACUUGCUUCCUCACUAGUCUACUGCAGAUGGAUGGAACACCGGAACAUACAAUCUCCAUGAACUCAAUGGUACUAUUCAGACUACAUUCCACAAAGUCUGGACACAACAUUGAAGACACAGGCAUUGCAGCAGGGGCAAAGCUGGUCAUUUCUAGGCACACAGGAACGGUCUGAAGUGCAUGAGGGAAAAAGCAUCCCUGCAGAUGUGUACUCAAG